UGGCAGGUACAGAGGGAUGCUACCGGGCGACCGGAUGCGGAUCUCGAAAGCCUGUCCCAGUUCGGACUGGAGUCUGCAACCCGACUCCACGAAGUUGGAUUCGCUAGUAAUCGCGCAUCAGCCAUGGCGCGGUGAAUACGUUCCCGGGCCUUGUACACACCGCCCGUCACACCAUGAGAGUCGGGAACACCCGAAGUCCGUAGCCUAACCGCAAGGGGGCGCGGCCGAAGGUGGGUCCGGUAAUUGGGGUGAAGUCGUAACAAGGUACC
rnacentral:rRNA from 1 species